rnacentral:lncRNA from 1 species
GUCUCAUCCUCAUCACAAACAUUCAGAGCCCCUAAUGUAACGUCGCUGCCGGUGGCAAGUCUCCAAAUAGCCUGAAAUUUACACACCUAAAUCCCCAUGAACUCCUCUUUUCAAGCCCCAUAACUCCAUGGCUCAAAUCAUACCAGAGCUUCUCGAAUGAUCGAUCUUGUGACUGCCAUCUCCGCCGCCCACGGUGGCGCUUACGCCGAUUACCGCCAAAACAACAUCCUAGAUUCCUCUCGUCGUCCUCUCUUUAUAUCUCACCUUAGUUUCCCUUGAAUCCCCACCCAGAGUCUCGAAUCUCGGUAUGACAUUCUACCCAAAACCCUAAGUUCUUCAUACAUCCUUAAAUCCACACCCCCACAGUCCCCAUGACUCCCUCACCUCGAAUCACUAGCCAAAAACUCUCGAAUCUCACCAGGCCAUCUCUAAUUUCGCAUCUUGGGUUUUCGAGUUCUUCUGCCGUUUGGAGAUUCAAUCAUUCGAAUGAUUUUAAUUAAUAUUAUGAGUUUAUUUUUGACAAGAUAAACCUAUAAUAUUAAUUAAAAUUCAAUUCCAUAAAAUCAAUUGAGUUCGAAGACCAAAUCAGUAAGCCUUUUCUCAUUUUUAGUUAAUUUUUGUUUGAUUCAUAAUUUGUCUGUUUAAUUAAUCAUAGUUUUAAUUUCCAAAUCAUUUUAAUUGAUAGUUUGGUUAGAUACAAUUUCUGUUAGUUAAUUGUUAGCUAGAUGUUUAGGUUAGUUUCCAUUCCUUUAGUUCUGAGUUGAUGUUUAAAUGUUCAAUUGUUAGCUUAUUUGUUAAAUGUUAGUUUAAUUUCAUUUAGUUUCGAUUGUUAGUCGAAGCUUAGUAUUUUUUUAUCUUUGAAUCCAGUCGAAGCUUUGUAUUUUUUGAUCUUUGAAUCUUGAUUUUAAAUCAAGUCUGUGUGACCGAAUAGUUAUGUUUUUUUAGUUCAAUUAGUUAAUUUCUGAGUUUCCAUUAAUAAGUCUUAGUUAGUUUUGAAUUGGUUUAGUACUUGGUUAUAGCUGUUGUAGGUUUAAUUAGAAUCAGUAAUUUCAGGGGACUUUCAGGGGUAGUUUAGGCAUGGAAAAAGGGCAUUUUUGUUAAGAAUGGUAAUUUCAAAACAAGAGCAAGGGUAAUAUAGGUAUUAUAUAGGUAGAAGAACAUCCUAGGGCCUUCUAGAGUACGACUUUAGUGAAGAUUCCAGCUAACUUAGGACAGUAGCUUGGGUAACAAUUUAAUAAAUGAGGGACUAAUGUAAAAAUGAAGAGGGACUGAAAAGAAAACUAAAAAAUCUGAUUAUUCCCUCUUAUGUUGCCUAUAAAUUGGCAUUAUCAUGCCUUAAAAGCGGGGUCUUCUUGUGAGCGAUAAAACAAUCCUCUCCAAAUAGCCUUUUCUUUCCAGUUUUCAUAUCCUGUUUUAAAAAUUCAAAAGUUAAAAAUUCAAAAACGGUAGAAAACAAAAUAAAAAUCUUCGAGAAAAAUCAAAAAUACAUUGUUACAUUGAAUCUUAGGCAAAUCAUUCAGUUAAAAUAAAAAAUACACUGUUACAUUGAAUCUUAGGCAAAUCAUUCAGUCAUAUUUCUCUUCUGUUUACUAAAAGUUCUUCUGGAGCUUUGUUGUUGUUUAAUCGACUGGUUUUGGGUCAAUCAAGAUGGUUUGAGUGAAUUUGGUAGACUAAUUUGGGAUUUGAGUUAUUUGCUGAGUUCGGUUUGGUUCAGUAUUGGGUGUUGUGGUUAGAUUGGUUGUUUCUGUGUGGAUUUUUGAAAUACCUUUGAACCGACUUGUUCUUGACUGCCUGUGAUCAUCUCUGUUGCAUUGUUGCCGUUAAUAUCUUUUUCUGCCUCCUAUUUCGUUUUCCAGGUACACAGCUUGACUUUGAUAGCUAGGAGAUAAAAUGUGAAAUGUGAACUUGUAGUUGAAGCAUGAAAUGCAAUUUGAUUCAGUUUUGGAGCUGUGUAUUUGAAUAUGUAGUCUGUUAAUGAUAGUUGAUUUUACAUUUGAAUUUUGAUCUAGAUGGAUGGAAACUGGCCAUGUAAUAACUAACUGAAAUCGUUUUUUUGUACUGUCUAGGCUAAUAAUUAUUCUGUUGCAAAUACACGUGAACUUUUUUUUGAGUUUUGAGUGUUAAUCAGGUUAAGCUUUAGCUCGUUUUUUAUCAAGUUGUAUUCAUAAAUAUGUUUGAAAGGUAACUCAGUGAUGAGGCCAGUCUUAAGUAAUUGAAUUUCAGUGUGGUUUGUAAUUAAAUGAAACUGUUAAUUAGGAUUCUGGGUUGAUCAUAGUUGGAAAUAUAAUUUGAGUCAAAAUCGUUUUAGUUUGUGUUAGUGAUACUGUAGUUCAAAUCUUUGUUUUAAUUUCCAGCAUAAGUGUCAUUUAGGAAGUGAAGUUCAACAUGUCAAUAUCUAUUUGAUUUGGGAUAAUUACGUUUAAAUAAACCGUUAGUUUGCUAUUCUACAGCCUCGAUCUUUGUUAAAUAAAUCUUUGUUAAUUAGGAGAGGAUCGAUACUAGCUGAUUGAGUUCGCCUGGUUUGGGCUAAUUUCAGGCCCAGUGACCAUGGCCAUGUGAUACCCAAACCAAAGGGCAUAACGUAUCUUGGGGCUCUUUGGGCCCAAAGCUGAAAUUUCUUUUCUUAAUUUUUGGUUUGAACGUAGGCCUGGAGACUAUAACACUAAUUAAUUAGUGAUUUUUUCCAUUACUUUAGAGACCAAAUUGGAUAGAUAGUUGUAGUUGCAUUUAGGUCGGCUUUAAAAUAAAAUGAGACGAGCCUCACCAAAUAAAACUACAAAUUGCGCGACCCUCAAUGAAUAUUGUAUUCAAAAUACUUAGAAUUCGGGAGGGCCGUUUAGCGAAUUUUACGGCAUUCCCCAAAAUAAUAAUACGUUAGAUUUUUUAAGCACGAUUUCAAUAAAAUUACAUUCUUAAAUUCGGGUGCACAUUUUUGUGACCCAAAUCCAAAUCUCAAGGGAGUUAAAUUGUAUUGACAACCACGGGCACAUUGAUGGAUAGCUCGAGACAUGUUUUCAUGUAGUUGCAAUUCUUAUUAAAAAAUAAUAAUAAAGCGGUUUACAAUUAAAAAGAACAUAAGCUAGCAUGUAUUAAAACCACAUAAAAUUAAAUACAACAGUUAAGCGGUCGUGCUAGAACCACAGAGCCUGGGAACGCCUAACUCCUUCUCCCAAGUUAACAGAAUUCCUUAUCCGGAUUUCUGAUUCGCGGACUAUAAUACAAAGUCAUAUCUUUCCUAAGUUCGGGAUUAAACCGGUGACCCAAGUGGCGACUCUGAAUAAUUAAUAACUAAAUAAAAUUCCUUUACGCCCUUGCGGUGUAGUGAAAAAAGAAGGUGUGACGGCUCUGGCGACUUUGUUGGGAAAACGAACCCAUAACUUUUUGUUCACAGUUCAGAAUUCGAGCUUAGAUAAUUUGUUGUAUUUGGUUAUAUCUGAUUUUCUACAUGUUCCAUGCUUAAUGUGAUAAAUGUUAGCGCUUUGAUAUUAUCUGAAAUGUAUAUAAAUUGUGCCGAAAUCUUUCUUUUCUCACCUCCGGGGAUGUGCAUACUGGUUGAGACUCCCUAUUCUAUUAGUUUCAUACCCUGAAAUAAUAAAGAGGUCGGACAAGUUACGAAGCCGGAUGGCCUUUUGGUUCCCGGUAAGUUGCCCCCUCCUCGACUCGAGUUGUCCGCUCGUGUACACAGUCUAGAACACAUACACUGGUUUUGAACCUAGAGAUCGGAAGAGCACACGUCUGAAACUCGGGUACACAGUCCAGAACAUAUACUCAGGUUUUGAACUAGAAUAACGUGACUUCAUGUCGGAUCCCUAGUAGCAACGCUUAUUUGCAUCAUGUUGCAUUUGCCUUAGAGGACUCAACACAGGGGUUAGGUCCAUCUAGGACUAGCAACCUGAAAUAAAAAGACCAUCCUGAUGCUUCCUACUUGUUUUCUGCAUUUAUUUGCUUCAAACUUGCAUGCAGACAGGCUUUUAAAUAUUGUGAAGUUGUGAAAAAACGAAAAAGAGAGAAAUAAUAGUUUACAGAGUUAAUUGCCUACUUUUAGAAAAAAACCAAUGCACAAAUACUAUCGAAACUCUACCAAAAUUUUGAGAUAAUGAAAAAGAAAAAUAUUUUAUUUUCAAUAAUCUAUUUCACUAAAAAAAAAAGCAAAAAAAAUAAUUGAAAAGAGUCUUUUAUCUUUUGGAAAGUUGUUCGUUGAAAAAAAAGCAGAAAAGAGUCUUUAUUUUAGUUUAUAAAAAUAGGUUGUUAUAUUGUUUGUUGAAAAUGAAAAAGAAAAAAAAAGUCUUUCUUUUGUCUUAUUUUCAAAAAAAAAGUAGGUUGUUUGUUGAAAGAAGAAAAGGAAAAAGAGUUUAUUUUGUCGUGUUUUCAAAAAAAAUAAAGUGGGUUGUCUUGUUUUCAAAAAGGAAAAAAUAGGUUGUUCUAUUGUUUGUUGAAAAAUAAAAAAAGAAAAGAGUUUUGUUUUAAAAUAGUUUGGUUAAUUUGUCCGAACUAUGCAUGUUUGGUUCUCACCGGAUGUGAGAUACGUAGGCAAAUCGGGUCCAACCUUCCCUUUGCAAAAAUAUUUUAAGUUUAAAUUUUGGCAUGAAUAAGUCAGGUGACGCCGUUUUUGUCAAAAAUAGCCGAAUGUUCCCAAAAGGGACGACGGAAGUGUCACGACCCAAAAUCCACUAAGGGUCAUGGUGGCGCCGGACACCACUGUCAGGCCAGCCAACUAAAAUACUCAAUUGAAUUCGUAUUUUAAUAAUUUCAAAAAUACUUCUUUAUUAUGAUUAAAGCAAUACUCAGUAUGUUCCUCCNNNNNNNNNNNNNNNNNNNNNNNNNNNNNNNNNNNNNNNNNNNNNNNNNNNAAGCAAUACUCAGUAUGUUCCUCCAAUUAAAUAAGGAAAUAUUAAUUCAACUUUCAAAAUUUCUGAAUAAAUUCAAAUACAUCCCCAGAACCCGGAGUCACAAGUACAUGAGCAAUUUUCUAAAGGAAACCAAAUAGGUACAACAACUUCCCGGACAGAAAGUAAUUAAAAUUCUGAAAGAGGCUAUAUUAGCUGUGGAAUCGCCUCGGAUAAAUACAACUCACCUAGUCUCUACGCCGGUCAUGUCGCUAUGCCGCUAAGCCACGAACCACACAAUAAACAUGUGCAACAAAAUGCACAGCAAGUGUAGUAUGAGUACAAAAAUAACGUGUACUCAAUGAAUGUCCCGCCUAAUCCCGAAGGGGUAGAGACGAGAUGGUCGACCUUGAAACUCACUAGCAGUCCAAUGAUUAUUUAUCCAUAAUAAAUAUAUUAAAUAGUGGAUUUGUUUUAUAAACGUAGUUCUAAUCCAGAUAGAGGAAACAAGUAAACAUAUAAUUUUAUCAUGGAAAAGUUUCUUAGAUUUAUUGUUAUUAUUAACAAUAUGAUCUCGAGCCAUAGUGAGGCAUGAAACAACUCAUAUAAGUUCAAGACAACAACACAAACAAGCGCAAAUCAUGACGAGGUCGACGGUCCGCUCCAACAGAAAUGUAAAGUGUGCAAUGCCGAGGGUCGAGCGGCCCAUACCAUAGAUGCAUCUAUAUUACCGAGGUGAUCGGUCCGUUCCAAAAAUAAACACAUACCCUGCUCGUGAAUCAUGCAUCCGACACAGGUACAUAUAAGAAUACAUGCUGAAUCAGUCAAAUAAGAGCUUAUCGGGGAAUAUUUAUUCAAAUAAAAUCAAUUCUCCUUUAAAAAAUUAUAGAUCAAUCCAAGUAUAACAUGCUUUUGGCUCUUAGACUACCCGUACUAUAGCGUAACAGUAGCUACGAACAGACUCUCGUCACCUCGUGCGUACGUAGCCCCCAUAAUUAGGAGCACAUAAUCAAUUUAACUCACCUAUGAGGUAAUUUCCCCUUCACAGGAUUAGAAAGGAGACUCACUCACUCCGAAGACCCAUUAGAAACGAUAUUGAAACAUUAAAUAAGAGCAUGAUCACAACCCAAAACACACCCGAGGCCCACGAGACCCCGACCAAUCACACCAACCACUCCCAAAACACGGUGCGGACUUGCUCGAGGCCUAAAAUCACAUCAAAAACGCCAAAACCGCGAAUCGACCUCCAAUCCAAGCUUGAUUAACUUUGAAGUUUCCAACUUCUAUUUCUGAUGCCGAAACCUACCAAAUCACGUUCGAUUGACUUCAAAUUUUGAACACAAGUCGAAAAUGACAUAACUAAAACUACAGCAACUCUCAGAAUUCCAUUCCGACCCUCAGAUCAAAAUCCCACCUAUCAACCGAAAUUCGCCAAAAUACUAACUUCGUCGAUUCAAGCUUAAUUCUACACUGGUCAUCACAAAGAGAUUUCGGACACACUCCUAAGUCCCAAAUCACCUAACGAAGCUUUCUGAACCAUAAAGUUUGCAUUUCGAGCCAGAUAACAAAAUUUUCACUUUCGGUCGAAUUUUCUCAAAAACCUUCAAAUUUCUAUCUUUAGCCAAACGGUUCCAAAAUGACCUACGGACCUUCGAAUUCACUUCCGAUCACGCUCCCAACUCCAGAAUAACUAUAUAGAGCCACUCCCAGCCUCGGGAUGUCAAACGGACAUUAGUAACACUGAAAUACAUUUUAAGCCAAAGUGAUGCAAUUUCUUCUAAAAUGCUAACUUCCACAAUUGGCGCCAAAACACUUCCGAGUUAUCCAAAACCCGAUCCGGGCAUAUGCCCAAGUGCACAAUCAUCAUACGAACCUGCUGGGACCUUAAGAUCCCAAUUCCGAGGUCAUUUACUCAAAAUUCCAGUUCUAACUCAUUUCUUCAACUUUAAGCUUUCCAAAUGAGAAUUCACCUUCCAAAUCCAUUUUGAACUUGCCGAAAUUCAAUGCCGACCACGCGUAUAGGUCAAUAUACCUGAAAUGAAGCAGCUCAUGCUCUCAGAAUGCUGAAUGAUGCGCCAGAACUCAAAACGACCGGCCGGGUCGUUACAAUCUACCCCACUUAAACAUACGUUCGUUCUCGAACGUGCUGAGAACUACAGUGAAGUAUUCUAAAAUCACUUUUUUAACACCUCAUGCACCUUCUCGUGCUACCACCACUCAGUUGAGCACAUUAGCUCGAUAACACUAUAGAUAUACUCAUUUAUUCAAGCAAUAAGCCAUUAGGCCCAAUUCCAACAUCCUAAAUUUCCUACCAAGUCUGUUUCCAUCAUACGACCACCAUAUCAAUCUACACACAUUGUACCCAAACAUGACUGCAUAACUUUGCGGAAUUCACGCUUUGCAUCACUUUAUUGAUAGGACCACAAUAACACUCUCUUAUCGAAUAAAUCAAAAUUCCACAAAUCCGAUGCUCCCAUUGCACCUCAUGACCUACACAUAUCUUGCUUUAACUUUUACAACACCGACACGACGGAAGAAAUAUGCCGAAAUUCAUAACCAACUGCUGAAUCAACAAAUCAUUGGGUCUACACUUCUGAAAAGCAUCAUUGCCUCCUCAUGAACCAUCUAAUGGUAUUAGCUCCUUAAUAUACUUCAUAUAGUCAAAUUGCACCGACCCUACAUCCCAUAAUCUCGUCUUACCCAGUACAAACUACUCAGGAAAUAAGCCAUCUCGGGCAUAAACAAAAGCCUCAUAUGAUGCCACAAUGUGCCAAUAGGCUACCAAUCCAAACGCGACACAAAAGGAAGGCAAACUCUAGAAGGAAUUAUCGAACCCCGCACUACUACGGAUUUCCUAGAAGAUAGGAAACAAAACACACAAAAACAGAAUGUAGGAAACCAGAUUCGACAUCACACUAUUGCAGCGCGCAACCCGAACCGAAUAACAUAACACUCAACAAAGGAGAUGCACAUCGAGCUAGAUUGCUCAUUACAACAAAAUACCAAAUAUUGAUCAUAGACAUGAUAGGGUGUAUAAUACCAUCCCUAAGGAAACAUAUAGCGCUAUGGCCUACAAACUCAAGAACAAAUGAGGAGUGAUACAUGAUCUAAAUCUCAAGAGCCAUCCUGAUCAUAUAACAUCACCGCUGAGCGGAACCUCAACACAUAAUGAUUUUACCAAGUUGUCUCACAAGUCAUACUGCGCAAUAUAUCUUUACAUGAAUUAGAUGACCAUGAAAUAAGACCGCGACUAUCCUUCCAUUAAGGGUGCAUUGCUGAAAUAAACACAACUAGCAUGACGUAAGGCUCACUUCCACAUUUAAAUCUAUCCACCGACCUCAAGUCGAUCCUGAUCAUGCCAAGCAAGGCCAAUAAUCUUUCACAAGUCCAUAACCCAAUAAAUAGAGUGCCCUCCAGGCAUAAAUUCUCAAAUGAAUGAUAUUACCAAAAUCCUCAUACUUGGUUUAAAUCUCUAAUUAAUCAAGUGACUACAUGUCACGCUUAUACAAUCAUCCUGUGGGACAAGCCCCCACCAUCUUGCGAAAUAAUUAACGACAUAUUCAAACCACCGGCUACACCUACGCUGAAAAGCGAUCAAGAAUCCCUAACCAGGAUGCAAAGACUUUCUCACAGAACACCGAUCUCAGGUGAUAUUGAUGCCCAUACCCAUCUUACUCAAAACACUGAAACUCCUUUCCUGCUCAUCCGAGCUCGUGACAUCACAGUUAUUGACCACACUGCAACCUUGGUCUUUACUUAUCAUUCCAUACCACUCACUGCACCUCACAUGCUGAUCUACGAUAGACACAAUUUCCAUCACCACUCUGGAACCGCCGAUAGGAUAACACUUCAUCAUGUAAUAUUUUCCAUUUAACUCACUUUAUGAGAACUAUAGCAACAUACAAGCAAAUUUUCGUAACCGUCAAAUAUGCCAAUAUAUAAGUAGUGGUCCAAGCCACCAAACCCUUCUGGGAUCCGCCUACUCAUAACAGGCCAUAACAUAAGAAUGCUUCUGAAUAACAUCAAUAACUGUGGCACCACAGAGCCUCACACGUACUGCCACAAUCACAUGCAUAACUCGAUCAUGCUGAAGGAACUAUCACUGGCACCAAUAUGCCAAUUCAACUAUGGCUAAUCAAUCUACUUCCUUCCAGUUUAUCCUUGAUUGCUUUAGGAAUAAUAAUAACAUCCAUUCAACACCUAACUUAUUCCAACCGCACUCACCCUGAAUGACCUUAAAUCGUGAGACCAUGCUGUCUCAAAUCCCAUGACCAUUUCAUGUCUCUCAAAUGCUACACCGCAAGUCAAAACACCAUAGAAGAUUCUGUGCCAUUAUUCAUAAGAUGCUUCAAAAUCUUGACUCUUAACUGUACUUAUAGACUCAAAAUUAUUAGGCACCACAUUUUACCUUUUGAAUUCACUAGGGCCGUUAUUGAGAGCCACCUGCUCUGACUUGGCCCUGAAUGCAACCAACUCCAAUAAAUUUUAUAACAUAUGAAUACCCUCUCAAUAAAGCACCCAGGGUGAUCACUUCCCUCGAAGCAUGCACCUAUACGGGGCAUAAAUCAUGAAUCUUCCCUCAAGUCUGAACAUGAGCCAAUAAGGCCAACCAUAGCAUUCAUUCCACAAUUCAUUUGCUCAGAUUACCACUUAUGGUCUAUUCUCCUAGCUGGGAUAACCCAUCAAUAUGCUAUUAACCAGAAAUCACGCUAGUAGUUAAUCAUGCAACCCAACAAUAAGCAGUGGGAUUCUCCCACUUAGCUUGAAGCCGUCAUUCCACAAUUCUGGAAUUUACUAGAAUUCUUCAUAUUUUGUUGACAUAGCCUUUAACAAUGAACUUUGAAUCAUCAACCACAUUUGCGUGAUCGAUCUCUUUGUUGAACAAAUAGUAAAAAUUCCUUGUAGAAGCUUCGCCAAUCACGCGACCGCUAACCUGCACAUAGGGAAUAACCCACCUGAAGAAGACACUUCUCGACAUCUUCUUAAUGCUGAUGCACAGGGUACAGUCACUAUAACUCCAAUUACCCCUCCUAGGUCCAAGUGCACCCUCCAGAUGCACCAGUCCAUUCGUCCCUCGUGGACAUUAAUAAAAUGUGCAGCAAUAUCCUUCCAAUUCAAAGCUAUGUUGCAUCCUCCUUUAUUUCAAGUAUCUCAUUUCCGCUAUAUCAAAUCUUCUGCUGCAUAAUGACCUAUUCUUCAAGUUAGCUUCAUAGGCCCCAACCACAAAUCUCUGAAAUUCUCCGAUCAAUCCAAACUCUCCUUAAGGCGGUAGUCAUCCUACUACCAAGCCCAUAUGCUAUAUCCGCCACUCCACCACUUUGGCAGAACUCAUCCCUUUAAUCAACCAUCCGACCUUGCUCCUCGUACUUGGCCUUCUAGAAGUUUAAAACACCGCCUGACACUCCACACAUGUCCUUCCUCAUACUCUCUUGCUCAAUUGUUUCCUUAAAUAAAAUCUAUCUUCAUAGGACUUGAACUCAAAAGUCGCUACUAACUUUAAACCUUUCCGAAGAUCAACUUUCUCGAGCCAUCACAUUAGAAGCACCGGUCCCAUCCUGAACCACCGCAUCCUACGAUCUCUAACUGUCACUUCUUAAUUAUUGACCUGCAAUAUCCUUCCCCAAAGUCAAAUUGUAGAAGAUCAUAACACCGACGAAUAUCGCACAUUCGAUAGGGACAACGACAUCAGCCUAAGCUGAACAUUCUCUGCCCGAUUGCCUUUCCCCUACCAGGAAUAAAACACCGAAUCUCUAGAUCAUGCACUGAGUAAACCUCCCUUCAGUAAUUCACUACCUCCACGCAUAGGCAAAUAUCCUGCCAUCAUAUUAAUACCGCGAAAACUCAUUCAUAACCAUCAUGGCAACCUGCGCUUAACCGAGCCAAAAUAAUAAAAUAUCCCUCCACAGAGCGACUAUAAUAACCCAAUCAACUAUACCGGAAGAAACAUCCCACUCCACAUCUGUAGUGCCAUCGAAGUUCUUAAAUUCUCGAUUUACAACAGGUGCUCUACGUCGCAUAAGAUUGAGUAUGAAGGAAACAAAUGCAUAGGCCUUAGAGGAAUCAAAUCGCACGAUAAUGAAAUCAAGAAGGAAAAUACUCCUAUCAGCCCUGUAGCCUCUCGAGGAUAAGUACAGACGUCUCUGUACCGAUCGGCCAUACUCUACUAGACAUAAUCAUGACUCGUGAGACCAAUGGGAACCUAAAGCUCUGAUACCAUGUUGUCACGACCCAAAAUCCACUAAGGGCCGUGGUGGCACCGGACACCACUGUCAGGCUAGGAAACUAAAAUACUCUAUUAAAUUCUUAUUUUAAUAAUUUCAAAAAUACUUCUUUAUUAUGAUUAAAGCAAUACUCAGUAUGUUCAUCAUAUUAAAUAAGGAAAUAUUAAAUCAACUUUCAAUAUUUCUGAAUAAAUCCAAAUACAUCCCCAUAACCCGAAGUCACAAGUACAUGAGCAAUUUUCUAAAGGAAACCAAAUAGGUACAACAACUGGCCGGAAUACAAUUGGACAGAAAGUAACUAAAAUUCUGAAAGAGAAUAUACUAGCUACGGAAUCGCUUCGAAGAAAUACAGCUCACCUAGUCUCUGUGCUUGUCAUGCGGCUAUGCCUCUAAGCCAUGAGGCACACAAUAAAUCUGUGCAAAAAAAUGUACAGCAAGUGUAGCAUGAGUACAAAAACAAUAUGUACCCAAUGAGUGUCCCGCCUAACCCCGAAGGGGUAGAGACGAGAUGGUCGAACUUGACACUCACUAGCAGUCCAAUGAUUAUUUAUCCAUAAUAAAUAUAUUAAACAGUUGAUUUGUUUUAUAAACAUAGCUCUAAUCCAAAGAGAGGAAACAAGUAAACAUACAAUUCUUUCAUGGAAAAUUUCCUUAGAUUUAUUGUUAUUACUAACAAUAUGAUCUUGAGCCAUAGUGAGGCGUGAAACAACUAAAAUAAGUUCAAGACAACAGCACGAACAUGCACAAAUCAUGCCGAGGUUGACGGUCCGCUCCAACAGAAAUGUAAUGUGUGCACUGCCGAGGGUUGAGCGGCCCGUACCAUAGAUUCGUCUAUUCCACUGAGGCGAUCAGCCCGUUCUAAAAUUUAAACACAUACCCUGCUCGUGAAUCAUAUAUGCGACGCAGGUACAUAUCGAAAUUCAUGUGCAAAUAGCCAAUUAGGAAUUUAUUCGGGAACAAUUAUCAAAUUACAAGCAAUCCCCUUUUUAUUCAAUUUAAAAGAUAGAAGUGUAACUCUUUAGGAAUUCGUUUACAAAUUCUAUGUGAUUUGAACAAUUCAAGCCAUCAAUGGAUUUACAAUUAAUUCAAGUAUACAUGUUUUUGGGUCCUAAACUACCCUGACAAUAGCAUAAUAGUAGCUACGCACAGACUCUCAUCACCUCGUGCAUACGUAACCCCCACAAUUCAGAGCACAUAAUCAAUUUAACUCACCUAUGUGGUAAUUUCCCCGUCACGGGAUUAGAAAGGAGACUCACCUCACUCCGAAGACUCAUAACCGACAUUCUACAUUCCUCCAAAGGCUUGAACCGGCGUACAAUGCUCCCAAAACUGAUCAAUGAUCAUGUAAAUCCAUUAAUAUAUGCUAAGGUAUUCAUUAUAAUGCAAUUUAUAACAAUUUCCAACCCCGAACAAAAAGUUGACCAAAACGCCCUCGGGCCCACGUGCCCGGAAUCAGAAAUUUUUCGAAGAUAAAGUUUACCCAUGACUGUAGGAACCCAAAUAUAUAAUUUUCUCUUAACUCUAUGCUCAAAUUCAUGGUAAAAAUCCAAUAACAAAAUAUUUCUAGGUCUUCCUCUAACCGUCAAAUUUCUACCCAUUUUCAUGCUAAAAUCCGUACAGAAUUGAUCUAUAUACUCAAAACUAGUAGAGACCACUUACUUCGUGCUUGGUGAUGAAAAUGGCUCUCCAAAGUUGCUCCAAAGUCAGCUCCCAUGGAAGAAAUAAUAUGAAAGAUGAGCCAAAUUCGAAUUUUUGAGAAACCUCUCUGCCUCGAGCAGUUUCCGCUUCUGCGAAAAAUUUUCCGCUUUUGCGGUUCUGCAUCUGCGGACAAUUUUCCGCUUAUGCGGUUUUGACAGCAACCAGCUCUUCUCGACACGAAAACGAGCAUAACUCCCUCAUACGAUCUCCAAAUUUGACGAUUAUUUUUGCUAUGGCUCCGAAAUUAUGAUAUGGAUCUAAUGGUUCAAUAAAAGAUUAAUUUGGAGCUCAUUUGAUUAAUAUAGUACCCCUUUAUGUCCAAAGAAACAACGUUGAAACAUCAAAUAAGAGCGUGAUCACAACCCGAAACACACCCGAGGCCCCCGGGACCCCAACCAAUCACACCAACCAAUCCCAAAAUACAUUACGGACUUGCUCGAUGUCUCAAAUCACAUCAAACAACACCAAAACCGUGAGUUGAUCUCCAAUCCAAGCUUGAUUAACUUUGAAGUUUCCAACUUCUAUUUUCGAUGCCGAAACCUAUCAAAUCACGUACAAUUGAUUUCAAAUUUUGCACACAAGUCCAAAAUGACAUAAAAAACAACAAAGAUCUCGGAAUUUCAUUCCAACUCUCAUAUUAAAAUCUCACCUAUCAACCGGAAUUCGCCAAAAUACUAACUUUGCCAAUUCAAGCUUAAUUCUACAUCGGUCAUCAUAAUAAUAUUCCGGACACCCUCCUAAGUCCCAAAUCACCUAAAGAAGAUUUUCGAACCAUAAAAUUUGCAUUUCGAGCCCGAUAUCAAAAUUCCACUUCCGGUCAAAUUUUCUCAAAAACCUUCAAAUUUCUAUCUUUAGCCAAAUGGCUCCAAAUUGACCUAUGGACCUCCGAACUCACUUUCGAUUGCGCUCCCAACUCCAGAAUCACUAUACAGAGCAACUUCCAGUCUUGGGAUGCCAAUGGACAUUAAUAACACUGAAAUACAUUUUAAACCAAACUGACGCAAUUUCUUCUAAAAUGCUAACUUCCACAAUAGGUGCCAAAACACUUUCGAGUUAUCCAAAACCCGAUCCGGGCUUCCGCCCAAGUCCCCAAUCAUCAUACGAACCUGUUGGGACCUUCGAACCCAAAUUCCGAGGUCGUUUACUAAAUAUUCCAAUUCUAGCUCAUUAUUCAACUUUUAACUUUCCAAAUGAGAAUUCUCCUUCCAAAUCCAUUCUGAACUUACUGAAAUUCAAUUUCGACCACGCGUACAGGUCAAUAUACCGAAAAUGAAGCUGCUCAUGCUCUCAGAAUAUUGAAUGAUGCGCCGGAUCUCAAAACGACCGGCUAGGUCGUCAGAGGAAGGCUGCUUUUGCAAGAACAGCCACCUUUAGUUAUUUUAUAAAUAUUUUGGCUGGUUAGCCAAUGCAGCCUUAAAAUAUUCGUCCCUGAGGUGCUGAGAGAUGCGUUUGUAAAAUCAGGUCUUUUAUUUUAAUUUGAAAAAAGGAAUAAAAAGAGUCAGUGGUCAAGUGAGUACCGCUUGGAUUUUUGGUCAAAAUAAGCCGAGCCAUCUUCGGCAGUGUCUUAAACCACUCUUGCCGAGAUAGCCUUAGAGUAUCUUUCACUUGUCGAAAGGUUAUUCUCGUAAACGAACAGGCAAGUUUGUGAAAUGUCAUAAAACAAUCCUCCCUUGCCUCAAAAUUAAUGUGGAAGUGGGAAGGGGCCAUGUUUAAUGUAGAGCUUUGUUUGGAAUCAAAAAUAGGGGCUGAUUGUUGGAAACAAUUAGUGCAAGGCAUACAUUGUGUCCAUAUUAAGUCGCUACCAGUGUCUGCUAUGGCUACAAUUUCAACUGGUGGAGUUCCAAUAAAUAUUUUCAUGAGAUAUUCUCCUGGGACUGGAAUAAUAUCCGAUUGGAUUGUGUCACUAGCACUAGUAAGGGAAUUUUUCUUGAAGAAGGAAGCCCGAGAAAAUGAUCGAUGGUAGGCGUUUUGAAGGCAGUUUGAUGGAGUGUUUGAUGGGUUGUAGAAAGGCGAAAGAGAAGAAUCGCGGUGGAUAAGAUUAAGAGUGAAGCCAUUUACAUUAUGAUUGCUUUUUAUUUUGCGACAAGAAACUAAAGAAAGGUGAAAAAAAGCUAAUAUGACCAAUGUAGAAAAAGUUUGAUGGAGUGUUUGAUGGGUUGUAGAAAGGCGAAAGAGAAGAAUCGCGGUGGAUAAGAUUAAGAGUGAAGCCAUUUACAUUAUGGUUAUUUUUUAUUUUGCGACAAGAAACUAAAGAAAGGUGAAAAAAAGCUAAUAUGACCAAUGUAGAAAAGAGAGUGCUAGCUUUAGUAUUCAUCUUCAUGAUUAAUGGGUUUAUGAGAUUAGAUAUGAUUUUCAAGAAUGUUGAGGAAUGAUGGAGAAAAGUUUGUAAUUAUACCAUUUUAUAGGUGAAAAUAAGAGAAUGGGAAUGCAUGUAAGAAUAUAGAAAGUCAAAAGGACAUAUUAACUUGGAAGAAAUGGUAAAGACACCAAAUGCAAAGUAUACGAUGUGAAAAUUUCUUGAAAGUUAAAGAAGAAUUAAAUUAAAGAAGAAUACAUAAGGAGUUUCAUUUUCCUUAGAAGAGACAAGAAUAUUUUUAAGUGACCAUGUCCAAAAUGAUUCAUUUAAUAUACUCUUUUUUCCCAAUAUUUACAUCCACACCAUGUGUUAUAACAUGCAUUGAUUUUCUUUACGGCAAAAAAUAUAGCAUGAUAAUCAUUAUAUAAACAUUUAAUACUGCAUGUGUACGAGUUUUGAACAAAAAUAUUUGUAUGGUUUAGAACAAUGAAUUUUGGAAGUUUUCUCACUUAGAAAUAAAUGAACUCCCAUUUGAAUGCAACAUGUCAUACAUUUACCUUUUGCCUUCUAUUAAUGACUGGUUGAGCUUCGCCUACGCAACCCCUCCCCCCACCCCCACCCACCACCCCUAAAAACACAUCCAAAGGGGAUUGUUUUUUCACUAUAUUAAAAAAAAAUGCCACCUAUCAUUGCUUAUAGAUAAAAGUGAAAACAUACCUUAGUGUUUUUUUUGACACUGUCGAAUAAUUACUAGCUAUAGAUCGUGUAAUUACUAGGAUAUGUUAUUCACAUAGUUUAUUAAUUAUACAACAUAGUAAAUCAAAGACUUUUUUAUUUGUUUUAAUGUAUUACUAUAAUGUAAUUCUCAGCUUUCAGGUUGCACAAGUAGUAAUUACAUAAUAAAAUAAUUUUUAAUUUUAAAAAUAAAUUUUAAUUAUAAAAAAUUAAAUAAGUAUUUUAUAUAUGUGUGUGGGUGGUUUUUUUUAGGUGGGGUGGCUGCUAAAUAAAUUUUAACGUGUGACUGUUAGUACGUGAUUUUUGCCCUAUAUAUGAAUUAUUCCUCUUUCAAAAAUUCAAACAAAAUAAUUUUUCUUUAUUUUUAAAAUUUUUGAGUAAUUUUUUUAUAAUUCUUUGCAUGUUAUUUGUGCAUGUUAACUCAUAUGAAAAAACAAAAAUAUCCAUGUGCAUUUAGGAUCUAAUUUCACUUUUUAGGAUUAAUUAGUGAUUACGUUAUUCUACAAAAAAAGUCCAUUUUCGCACUUUUACUUGUUAAUUGUUGAGUUUAUUUUUAAAUAGAGUUUAAUCAAUUUUGUAGGAAUUAAUUAAGCUUAAUUUUAAAUAUAAAGUAGAUUUCAUUUAAAUUUUUGCAUUUUUAUAAAAUCAAGAAAAAAAUACAAAAUGAAAUACAAAAAAAAUAAAUAAGGGGAAUAAAAAGAGAAAACAAAUAAAAAGGAAGGGAGUAUUUACAAGAAUCAAAAUUGGGCUAUUAAUUCUAAUAUUACCUUAGCCCAACCAAAACCAACCACCCGUCCAAGCCCAAAUUCAACAACCCGGUCUUCCUCCCCUACUAAGGUCCAAACGGCGUCGUUUCAGGCAAAAUUUACUAUCGUUGAUUUUUGAUCUAAUGGUUGAGAACGUCCUAGGUUCUCUAAUAUAAAAGUGUCUGAAAACCCUACCCACCACCGUCUCAUCCCCCUCACAUACAUUCAGAGCCCCUAAUGUAACGCCGCCGGCCGGAAAUUGUCGCUUCCGGCGGCAAGUCUCCAAAUAGCCUGAAAUUUACACCCUAAAUCCACAUGAACUCCUCUUUUCAAGCCCCAUAUCUCCAUGGCUCAAAUCAUACCAGAGCUUCUCGAAUGAUCGAUCUUGUGACUGCCAUCUCCGCCGCCCACGGCGGCGCUUACGCCGAUGACCGCCAAAACAUCAUACUAAAUUCCUCCCAUCGUCCUCUCUUUAUAUCUCACCUUAGUUUCCCUUGAAUCCCCU